GGCUUCGUGUCUGUGGAUCUGCGGCUCUUUGUCUGCACUGGGUUUCAGCAGAGUCGGCGCGUCACCUGAAACAUCAGCGUGCUGAGUCCUCAGAUCAUCCGUGAGCAGUUUUGCACUGAGCCUGGCUCUGCUCAAUUAUUCAUAUCAUGACAUCACCCAGGAGACUGUGGGGACCGCCCUCCUCCACCUACCUGUGCCUGUCCGUGAGGGGGAGGAGCUCCUCGCACCUCCGCGGACUUUGAUUUCUGUCAUGAACAUUUUUAGAGACGUGCCUUUGCAUCUGUGUUUGUUUAUAAUGAGAGUAAAUGUAAACGUGACGUGUUGUUUGUGGGUCUUUGAUCGUGUGGAAUAUUUCUGCUGCUGCAGCUGAAAUCCAACACUUUAGUUUUUUCUUUCUAUUUGUUUAACGUGGAAACUUUAAACGUGGUCACAGGACGUCUCCGGUCCAAUAACAGUGCAGGUGUUUGGCAGCAGUGAUGAGUCUGACCUUCACCAGCAGAGGGAUCUAAUAAAUAAGAGUGACGGCGGUUUCUUCAUCUAUAAAAGCUGAGCGGUUUCCUCUGUUACUGCCCGCAGAAGGUAAAUGAAUGUAAGAGAUUUUUAGAUAUUUCAGGUGCUUUCAACCAUUUCAGGUUAAAGUUUAGCCUGGUUAUAACAGACGUUACAGUGGAGCAGAUUUCAGGUCCAUCUGCAGGAUCCUCCUCCUCUCCAGAAGAGCAUCCAAUCACACCUGAGGAACAAGCUGCUGCUCAGGUGACCCAGCACUGGGGGAAUCACCGCGUUCAGACUUAUCACAGGUGAACUGGGAGAAUCGUUCUGAACAUGGACGCAGACUCCCUGUGACUGUCGUAUCUGACCAAUAGGAGGUGCUGCAACACAACAUCUGUAUCUCCAGUAAUCAGCAGGCGACCUGUCCAAGGUGUAGACGGAGAUGAUCUCAGUGAUGCAUUCAGGGAGCGUUUGAAGGGCGGCUGCAGGAGCCUGUAUACAGGUGCUGCUGCUCUGCAACCACGUCCACCUCCACCCACCUCCCCUUUAAUGCUUUCUGAUCUCCUGCUGUUAGUGACGCUCGCUUUGCUCUGAGCGGGGCAGGAAGUGAACCUGGAAAAUAUGAAUAAGUGUAAAUGGAAUAAAAAGACUAUUUAACUUCUACGUCAGCUCUGUCACCAGCUCCUUAUGGUGCAGGUGAGAGUUUGAUAACCAGUCACAGGGAUGAUGCUGAGUCUGCUGCAGCUCUGUUAAGUUUAUAACAGAUAGUUCUGGCCUCUGAACACCAGCAGCGCUCCGGCAGACUCCCACGGUCGCGGCCACACACCUUUUGGUUUGCUGGAUCCACUCCUGCUUCAUCAGAAAACCCAGAUGAUUAGUUUGCAGACUUUUCUAAUCACCUUUUAAGGACUGAGCACAGAUUCUCAAUGGGAUUACAGACCGGGGAGUUUCCUGGCCUCGGAUACAAAUCGUUAAUUUUCUGAUCUCAGAGCCGCUUAGUGUUGAGUUUAGCCUCGAGACGCGGCGCUCCAUCAGGCUGGAAAAUGCACAGACUCCAGAACGCUCCUGGAUCUGUGGGAGAGGCUGGUCAUCGAGGAUGUUUGUGGUGUGGUCAGUGCUUAAAAAGCUGAAACCUGUGAUCAGCGUGGAGCUGUGGCAUCCCCAUCAGUCAGCGGUUGGCUCAGAGGCUGAUGUUCAGCAUGCACAGACCUGCAGACGUUCUAAAGAAGAAAGGUCACCACGUCUCAGCUGAAUUUUGAACGUUUUUUCUGAGCUGUCUUUAAACAUCGAUUAUCCUUCAAUAAAUCACAGAAACAUGCAAAGAACUCAAACUAAGUUCUGUGAGGAGCAAACGCUGGGCGUAAAGAGUGAUUGCACAACACUGGUCACUAUAUUCUUCAUUUCCAGUUAAUACUUGUAC